GGACGAACGCUGGCGGCGUGCCUAAUACAUGCAAGUAGAACGCUGAAGGAGGAGCUUGCUUCUCUGGAUGAGUUGCGAACGGGUGAGUAACGCGUAGGUAACCUGCCUGGUAGCGGGGGAUAACUAUUGGAAACGAUAGCUAAUACCGCAUAAGAGUAGAUGUCGCAUGACAUUUGCUUAAAAGGUGCAAUUGCAUCACUACCAGAUGGACCUGCGUUGUAUUAGCUAGUUGGUGAGGUAACGGCUCACCAAGGCAACGAUACAUAGCCGACCUGAGAGGGUGAUCGGCCACACUGGGACUGAGACACGGCCCAGACUCCUACGGGAGGCAGCAGUAGGGAAUCUUCGGCAAUGGACGGAAGUCUGACCGAGCAACGCCGCGUGAGUGAAGAAGGUUUUCGGAUCGUAAAGCUCUGUUGUAAGAGAAGAACGAGUGUGAGAGUGGAAAGUUCGCACUGUGACGGUAUCUUACCAGAAAGGGACGGCUAACUACGUG
rnacentral:rRNA from 1 species